rnacentral:rRNA from 1 species
UACGGGGGGGGCAAGCGUUGUUCGGAAUUACUGGGCGUAAAGGGCUCGUAGGCGGCCAACUAAGUCGGACGUGAAAUCCCUCGGCUUAACCGAGGAACUGCGUCCGAUACUGGAUGGCUUGAGUUCGGGAGAGGGAUGCGGAAUUCCAGGUGUAGCGGUGAAAUGCGUAGAUAUCUGGAGGAACACCGGUGGCAAAGGCGGCAUCCUGGACCGACAUUGACGCUGAGGCGCGAAAGCGUGGGGAGCAAACAGGG